rnacentral:rRNA from 1 species
GACGAACGCUGGCGGCGUGCUUAACACAUGCAAGUCGAACGAAGAGCGACGGAAGCUUGCUUCUAUCAAUCUUAGUGGCGAACGGGUGAGAAACGCGUAAUCAACCUGCCCUUCAGAGGGGGACAACAGUUGGAAACGACUGCUAAUACCGCAUACGAUCUAAUCUCGGCAUCGAGGAUGGAUGAAAGGUGGCCUCUACAUGUAAGCUAUCACUGAAGGAGGGGAUUGCGUCUGAUUAGCUAGUUGGAGGGGUAACGGCCCACCAAGGCGAUGAUCAGUAGCCGGUCUGAGAGGAUGAACGGCCACAUUGGGACUGAGACACGGCCCAGACUCCUACGGGAGGCAGCAGUGGGGAAUCUUCCGCAAUGGACGAAAGUCUGACGGAGCAACGCCGCGUGAGUGAUGACGGCCUUCGGGUUGUAAAGCUCUGUUAAUCGGGACGAAAGGCCUUCUUGCGAAUAGUGAGAAGGAUUGACGGUACCGGAAUAGAAAGCCGCGGCUAACUACGUG